rnacentral:rRNA from 1 species
AAAUUGAAGAGUUUGAUCAUGGCUCAGAUUGAACGCUGGCGGCAGGCCUAACACAUGCAAGUCGAACGGUAGCACAGAGAGCUUGCUCUCGGGUGACGAGUGGCGGACGGGUGAGUAAUGUCUGGGAAACUGCCCGAUGGAGGGGGAUAACUACUGGAAACGGUAGCUAAUACCGCAUAACGUCGCAAGACCAAAGUGGGGGACCUUCGGGCCUCACACCAUCGGAUGUGCCCAGAUGGGAUUAGCUAGUAGGUGGGGUAACGGCUCACCUAGGCGACGAUCCCUAGCUGGUCUGAGAGGAUGACCAGCCACACUGGAACUGAGACACGGUCCAGACUCCUACGGGAGGCAGCAGUGGGGAAUAUUGCACAAUGGGCGCAAGCCUGAUGCAGCCAUGCCGCGUGUAUGAAGAAGGCCUUCGGGUUGUAAAGUACUUUCAGCGAGGAGGAAGGCGUUGUGGUUAAUAACCGCAGCGAUUGACGUUACUCGCAGAAGAAGCACCGGCUAACUCCGUGCCAGCAGCCGCGGUAAUACGGAGGGUGCAAGCGUUAAUCGGAAUUACUGGGCGUAAAGCGCACGCAGGCGGUUUGUUAAGUCAGAUGUGAAAUCCCCGGGCUCAACCUGGGAACUGCAUUUGAAACUGGCAAGCUUGAGUCUCGUAGAGGGGGGUAGAAUUCCAGGUGUAGCGGUGAAAUGCGUAGAGAUCUGGAGGAAUACCGGUGGCGAAGGCGGCCCCCUGGACGAAGACUGACGCUCAGGUGCGAAAGCGUGGGGAGCAAACAGGAUUAGAUACCCUGGUAGUCCACGCCGUAAACGAUGUCUAUUUGGAGGUUGUGCCCUUGAGGCGUGGCUUCCGGAGCUAACGCGUUAAAUAGACCGCCUGGGGAGUACGGCCGCAAGGUUAAAACUCAAAUGAAUUGACGGGGGCCCGCACAAGCGGUGGAGCAUGUGGUUUAAUUCGAUGCAACGCGAAGAACCUUACCUACUCUUGACAUCCAGAGAACUUAGCAGAGAUGCUUUGGUGCCUUCGGGAACUCUGAGACAGGUGCUGCAUGGCUGUCGUCAGCUCGUGUUGUGAAAUGUUGGGUUAAGUCCCGCAACGAGCGCAACCCUUAUCCUUUGUUGCCAGCGGUUCGGCCGGGAACUCAAAGGAGACUGCCAGUGAUAAACUGGAGGAAGGUGGGGAUGACGUCAAGUCAUCAUGGCCCUUACGAGUAGGGCUACACACGUGCUACAAUGGCAUAUACAAAGAGAAGCGACCUCGCGAGAGCAAGCGGACCUCAUAAAGUAUGUCGUAGUCCGGAUUGGAGUCUGCAACUCGACUCCAUGAAGUCGGAAUCGCUAGUAAUCGUAGAUCAGAAUGCUACGGUGAAUACGUUCCCGGGCCUUGUACACACCGCCCGUCACACCAUGGGAGUGGGUUGCAAAAGAAGUAGGUAGCUUAACCUUCGGGAGGGCGCUUACCACUUUGUGAUUCAUGACUGGGGUGAAGUCGUAACAAGGUAACCGUAGGGGAACCUGCGGUUGGAUCACCUCCUUA